GAUGAACGCUGGCGGCGUGCUUAACACAUGCAAGUCGAACGGAAAGGCUCCUGCUUGCAGGGGUACUCGAGUGGCGAACGGGUGAGUAACACGUGGGUGAUCUGCCCUGCACUUCGGGAUAAGCCUGGGAAACUGGGUCUAAUACCGGAUAGGACCACAUUUUGGAUGGUGUGGUGGAAAGUUUUUCGGUGUGGGAUGAGCUCGCGGCCUAUCAGCUUGUUGGUGGGGUAAUGGCCUACCAAGGCGUCGACGGGUAGCCGGCCUGAGAGGGUGUACGGCCACAUUGGGACGGUGAUACGGCCCAGACUCCUACGGGAGGCAGCAGUGGGGAAUAUUGCACAAUGGGCGCAAGCCUGAUGCAGCGACGCCGCGUGGGGGAUGACGGCCUUCGGGUUGUAAACUCCUUUCGCUAGGGACGAAGCGUUUUUGUGACGGUACCUGGAGAAGAAGCACCGGCUAACUACGUG
rnacentral:rRNA from 1 species